GAAUCAAUUAUGUACCGGAAACAUGCCACAGUUGGCUGAACCUGUCACCAAACAGAAGCUAAUUGCCAGUCCUUCAACUUAGAUUGAAGUACUAGUUUCCCAGAUCAAGAUAUUUUAAGAAAUUUGUUCUCUACGCAGAGACUUAUUUCUGGGCAGGAUAGGAAGUCCGUUGUCUGUGCGUCCCUAGGGAUUGAUAGACUUGGGAUGUCGAAGAUAGUCCACAUUU
rnacentral:snoRNA from 1 species